rnacentral:misc_RNA from 1 species
GAAGAAGAACGUAGCGAAAUGCGAUACUUGGUGUGAAUUGCAGAAUCCCGUGAACCAUCGAGUCUUUGAACGCAAGUUGCGCCCGAAGCCAUCAGGUUGAGGGCACGUCUGCCUGGGCGUCACAUAUCGUUGCCCAAUGCCUAUUGCAGUGCAAUAGGAAUUUCUAGGGCGAAUGAUGGCUUCCCGUGAGCGUUGUUGCCUCGCGGUUGGUUGAAAAUCGAGUCCUUGGUAGGGUGUGCCAUGGUAGAUGGUGGUCGAGUUAGAACGAUACCGAUCAUGUGCAUGCUCCCCAAAAUAUGGCCUCUAUGACCCACACGCGUCUUUUGACGCUCAUGACGAGACCUCAGGUCAGGCGGGGCUACCCGCUGAAUUUAAGCAUAUCAAUAAGCGGAGGA